rnacentral:rRNA from 1 species
UGGCGGACGGGUGAGUAACGCGUGAGCAACCUGCCCUUCGGAGGGGGAUAGUGUCUGGAAACGGACAGUAAUACCGCAUAACGUAUUUUUACCGCAUGAUAGAAAUACCAAAACUGAGGUGCCGAAGGAUGGGCUCGCGUUGGAUUAGAUAGUUGGUGGGGUAACGGCCUACCAAGUCGACGAUCCAUAGCCGGACUGAGAGGUUGAACGGCCACAUUGGGACUGAGACACGGCCCAGACUCCUACGGAAGGCAGCAG